rnacentral:miRNA from 1 species
ACAAGCGCUGUCUCCCCUCCAG